AGGUUUUUCCAUGAAAAAUGGUGGAAUCAUACGACCCAUGAAGAUUGAAAGCCCAUUUGAAGAUGAGGGAUAUAAGAAGUAGUACGUUGAGAAGCUCGGCACAAUAUUCUCGUCAUUGGGUGGAUACGACUUUGUCAUAACCAUAGAGUUUCCGUCCAGUGUGUUCUUGCGUAGCAUCUGCAUUUCCUCGAACUUCUCAUUUCCUUGCACCCACAGGCCUUGACGGAGAAUUUCCUUCACUGCUAAAUUGUCGA